UGAAGCUGCUCUGACUGUGUCCCUCUAUGAUUUCAAAAGCAAGUUUCUCUACAUUAGUUGUCAGACUAGAGAAAACAUACUUUCUCUUGAAGGAAAUCAUACUUUCCAAUAAAGAAACUAACUUGAAAAAUUAUUCUAGUCUGCCUACAUUUUGAGAGUCAUAGAUAGGUUUCUUUAGGAUACUGUUGAUUGGAACUCACUGUUUAUUUUAGUUCGUUCAGGUUCUUUUUUUUUCUUUUUUGGGCUGAAUUUGUGGAAUUUCGAUAUCAGGUGAAAACCUAGGUGGAAAUGGAAUCGUAGAAAGCUACAAAUACAAGUGAACUUACAAAAUUCCUUGUGCGACUGGUCCA
rnacentral:misc_RNA from 1 species